GUGGCACGUUGCGGGCACGUAAUGUCAUUACCAAUAAAAAAACUUUGUGCGCUCAAGUUCAGAACAGCGCGUGCACAGCUGAGCUGUUAACAGGAGGACCGACAGUUUCUCCGAAAAUGACGUCUGACAGCAGUGACAACGCUUUUGUGAAGGGCUUCUGUACUGACAGGAAUCUGACAGGAAAUUUCGUUUUAUCAGUGUUAUUCUCUCUCGUCACCCACAGCAGUCACUGAAGCCCUUCAUAAGAAAUCUAAAGUCUUUCUCCUAUAAAAGCUGAGGUAACAAACACAGUAUGAGCUGAAUCCUCAAGUGCUCAGUAAUGUGCUUCUGGAUCUCCUUCCACCUUUUUAGUUGAUAAAAGUGUCCUUUGA